rnacentral:rRNA from 1 species
GAUGAACGCUGGCGGCGUGCUUAACACAUGCAAGUCGAACGGGAAACCUUUUAUUGAAGCUUCGGCAGAUUUGGCUGGUUUCUAGUGGCGGACGGGUGAGUAACGCGUGGGUAACCUGCCUUAUACAGGGGGAUAACAACCAGAAAUGGUUGCUAAUACCGCAUAAGCGCACAGGACCGCAUGGUCCGGUGUGAAAAACUCCGGUGGUAUAAGAUGGACCCGCGUUGGAUUAGCUAGUUGGCAGGGUAACGGCCUACCAAGGCGACGAUCCAUAGCCGGCCUGAGAGGGUGAACGGCCACAUUGGGACUGAGACACGGCCCAGACUCCUACGGGAGGCAGCAGUGGGGAAUAUUGCACAAUGGGGGAAACCCUGAUGCAGCGACGCCGCGUGAAGGAAGAAGUAUCUCGGUAUGUAAACUUCUAUCAGCAGGGAAGAUAGUGACGGUACCUGACUAAGAAG